rnacentral:rRNA from 1 species
AGAGUUUGAUCAUGGCUCAGAUUGAACGCUGGCGGUAUGCUUAACACAUGCAAGUCGAACGGUAACAGUCCCUCACCUAGAAAUUUCUUAAAAAGAGAUUUGUAGGUGAGGGAGCUGACGAGUGGCGGACGGGUGCGUAAUGUAUAGGAAUCUGCCCGGUAGUGGGGGACAACUCGGAGAAAUUCGGGCUAAUACCGCAUAAGCCCUACGGGGGAAAACGGGGGAUCUUCGGACCUCGUGCUAUUAGAUGAGCCUAUAUUAGAUUAGCUUGUUGGUGAGGUAAUGGCUUACCAAGGCGACGAUCUAUAGCUGGUCUGAGAGGAUGAUCAGCCACACUGGGACUGAGACACGGCCCAGACUCCUACGGGAGGCAGCAGUGGGGAAUAUUGGACAAUGGGCGAAAGCCUGAUCCAGCAAUACCGCGUGUGUGAAGAAGGCCUGAGGGUUGUAAAGCACUUUCAAUUGGGAGGAAUACCUAAUAGUUAAUAGCUAUUAGAUUGAC